GCUGGAAGGCGCCUGCGCGACUCGGAGACUGGCGCGGCCGGUUAGGCCUGGUAACGUGGGAGGAGCCCCGAGGCGCACCGUGGCUGGGGGUUUCGACUCCCCGGAGCUGAUAUCCAGGGCGGCUUUGAAGGAUAGGGCUGGGCCCAGAAUGAUUGACACGUGACCCCGCGCGCCAUUCCUAUUGGUUGCUUCGCAGAGGCUGCUUCCGCCCAUAAGAAAGAUGGCGGCUUCGAGAUUCGUACCGGAGGCCGGGUGUUUUUUUCCCCACCGUUCCCGGUUGUCUUAUUCGCCCCUUCCCGGAAGAAAGAUGGCGGCGGCCUGAGCCGAGUUCUGCGUAAGACUUGGCGGGCGCCCAGACCCGGCGCAUCAGAAGCCGGGGUGAGUGAGGGGUCCCUGCAGUCGCCGUGCGAGGGGCGGGCUUGGGAGGCCAUUCGGGUAGCGUUCGAAUCGCGCCAGGUCUGAGCCGGCUCGACCCCGCGGGCCGCCCUCUUCCUCGGCUGCUGCUUCCGGAACUCACUGCCGCGGGGGAUCUGAGGCUCGGGGCUCUGUUACCGGCUGGCGUUGUGACCUCAACUUGUGGUCCAGCAGCAUCUCUGCCUCGGUUUCCCCUUUGGUAAAACGUGCGCCAUGAGUUCUAGUAGUGUGAGCUGGAAAUGGAAGGCCUGGGUAAAACCUUCCUGCCCAGCCCGGGUUGGUGGGCGUUCUUCUCCGGUACUGUUCGGCGUAGUUCUUAAACCGACAUUGCUUUUACUUACUGUUGUUGUUGUUGACGUUUUUCGAGACGAGCGAGCUUUCUCCGUGUAGCUCGGGCUGUGCUGGAGCUCACUCUGUAGACCAGAGUGGCUGCACUGGAACUCAGAGAUCGCCUGCCUUUGCCUCCUUAGUGCUAGAAUUAAAGGCUUUUUCUUUUCUUUUACUUAACUUUUUUUUUUUUCUUCCUGCCAGGCUUUAUUUCUUUACAUUCCUAUUUUUGUGUUGCUGGAGGAGAUCGAAUCCAGCACCGUAAAUGCUGGGCAAAGGCUCUACUACUGGGCUAAAUCAUCAGUCCACUACCAGCUUUUGGGCUGUUUUACACUGUUGGUUUUUAGACUUUGGUGGUCUUUUUUUUUUUCCCUUUCCUCUUUUGUUGUUGUUAGCGAUAGGUUCCAGACAGGGUUUCAUGUAGCCUGCCUGAACUUACUAUGUAGCUGAGGCUGGCCUUGAACUAUUGAGUCUACUGCCUGUAACUCGAAGCAAGCCUAGUCAGUCUGCUUGGCAAGUUCCUGGCCAACCAAGGCUUCAUUGUGAGACCCUGUCUCAAAACAAAACAAAAAAGCAAAAGAAACAAAAUAUAUAGUUUGAUUUCAUCAGAAUUAUAAUGUAAGGAUGGCAAAGAAGUACAGAUAUUCCCCCAGCCACCCUGUGUAUUCCUGAAACCUAGGUGGAACUAAGUCCUGAGUAGACUGUUAUAGGUACAGCAAAUUUUAAUUUAGAAAUUAGGCCCAGGUAGAGAUUAACAAAUGAUCAUAAAACAGUUGUGACUUUGACAAAUAGAAUGCCAUCUGACUUCGAUUGAUGGCAAAUCAAGGGGUAUCAUUGUCACCUCCACUACAGGUGUCACUAGCAUUCCUUUUUACUACUGGUUGGAAACUGAUAUGUGUAGAAGCUAUGACAAGAUGAAACUCCUGAGUUUCAUGCCUGUUUUCUUCUCCUUGUAUUCUUACACCCGUCUCCUCAUCAUUCCGGGGCAAAUCCUUGAGCAUUUCCCAGAAUUCUCUCUACCCCUGCCAGAUGUCCCACCUCCUAUUCUCUGCCUUAGCUCAUUAACCAUAGGCUUUUUUAUUGACAGGUGAUGCUUAUAAUAGAUUCUCUACAGCAAAGGUCAGAUGCCUUAACCAAGGUCACAGAGCUCUGUGGUCAAGCUGGGGUCUGGAGAAUGAGUGACCGCAGCCGUCCAAUACACACUGGAAUAGUGAUUAGGGAGGAAUGGAGUCAGGUUUACGUUGUUGUGUUGUUGGUGUGUGGGGUUAGGGUACAGGAAGUGCUGCAACUUUAGCCUGGCCAAGUACAUUUCUCCAGUUUCUUUUUUAAAAAGUAAAAACAUCAUUUGUUGUUUUCCUUUUUCACUUUUUCUUCUUCAUUCCCCCCCCCCCCCCCCCCCCGGUAGUGCUGGGAUCAGCCCUAGGACUUGAGCACACCAGACAAGUGUUUCACCCCUGCCUGAGCUAUAUAUAUAUAAUAUAUAUAUAUAUAUAUCCCUAGCCCCUUGUGUGUGGAUCUUGUUUGGAGAUAGGAUCUUACUGUUUAUCCAUGGCUGGCUUGGAGCUCACAGUGUGGACCAGACUGGCCUUGAACUCAGAGAUCCACCCAUGUCCACCUCCUGUGUGCUGGGAUUAAAGUUGAAUGUCACCAUAUCCUGCUGGAAUAUAUGGUUGGUCCUGAUUAUUAAAUCAUGUUAUGAAAUAAAUAUAUUUAGUGAAGCAUUUGCUUCCACUU
rnacentral:lncRNA from 1 species